rnacentral:rRNA from 1 species
ACUCGAAGAACGAACGCCUUGGCGGCAUGCCUAACACAUGCAAGUCGAACGAAGCCUUCGGGCUUAGUGGCGCACGGGGUGCGUAACACGUGGGAAUCUGCCCUUCGGUUCGGAAUAACAGUUAGAAAUGACUGCUAAUACCGGAUGAUGACGUAAGUCCAAAGAUUUAUCGCCGAAGGAUGAGCCCGCGUAGGAUUAGGUAGUUGGUAGGGUAAUGGCCUACCAAGCCGACGAUCCUUAGCUGGUCUGAGAGGAUGAUCAGCCACACUGGGACUGAGACACGGCCCAGACUCCUACGGGAGGCAGCAGUGGGGAAUAUUGGACAAUGGGCGAAAGCCUGAUCCAGCAAUGCCGCGUGAGUGGUGAAGGCCUUAGGGCUGUAAAGCUCUUUACCAGGGAUGAUAAUGACAGUACCUGGAGAAUAAGCUCCGGCUAACUCCGUG